CUGCUGCCUCCCGUAGGAGUUUGGGCCGUGUCUCAGUCCCAAUGUGGCCGUCCACCCUCUCAGGCCGGCUACUGAUCGUCGCCUUGGUGGGCCUUUACCCCGCCAACCAGCUAAUCAGACGCGGGUCCAUCCCAUACCACCUUGGUUUCCAAACAAAAAGCAUGCGCUUUCUGUUGUUAUGCGGUAUUAGCACCUAUUUCUAAGUGUUAUCCCCCUGUAUGGGCCAGGUUACCCACGCGUUACUCACCCGUCCGCCACUAAGCCUUUCCCUUUUCCG
rnacentral:rRNA from 1 species